GGAAGAAUCCAUAUCUUUUAUUUCCUUCCACAUUCUACUUCUUUAUCUUUACAAAAAUUUGAGAGUUAGAAUAUGAGAAGAGUUAGUUAUUCUAUCAAGAAGGAGUUUUCACACUUAGCUAUUUUGGUGCAAGUCUUAAGGUACCAAAAAGAUUGUGAAGAGGAAGACGUUGUAGCGGACUUAGCAGUGAUUGGUUAGGAGUGCUAAAGAAAAUUUGUUAGUUGGGAUUGUCAUACUAGAGGUGUUAUUUUAAUUCCUUUUGGAGAGAUACACAUUGCAUUUUUAUUUGGAGAAAAUUUAUUGUAAUUUGAGAUUUAUUUGGA